UACGGCAAAUAAAUUGUUUUU
rnacentral:piRNA from 1 species